rnacentral:lncRNA from 1 species
CGUACCAAAUCGUAUCAAGUAAUAAUAAAUGGUAAGUCCAAGUAUCGUUUUCCCAAGAGACUCACGGCACUAAACUGUUGUGCUUUUGCUUAACCAAUCAAGAUUAUAAAAAUAAUAUUUUGGGAUUUUUAUAAAGUGCAGAAAAAUAAACAUGAAUGCAAUUUGAUAAAUUGAGGUUAAACACAAAAGUGGAUGGAUGAAUGGAGUUGUUGGGGGUUUAUAAUUUUAUCUUAUCCGCUCUCUCUUAUUUACUCCUCUUGUUUUAUUUGCUUGAUUAUCUAAUUGUUAUGCAACUUUCUUAGCCUACCCUUAACUCGAUCCCUUGGCGAAAAUAGCCUAUUACUAAUUAUUGGCUUGCUAUCCCUAGCCUACCCUAGCAAUUAAUAAUGCAUUAUAGAGCAGAAGUGAAAAACAAUUGAUCGUCCUACCCCUAUCCCUAGGUGGUAUUGCUUAAUUAAGGAAUCACUCACCAGUUCAUGACAUUACUAUACGUCCCCG